rnacentral:tRNA from 1 species
AAAGGGAGACCUAAUUCGGGUAGAAGACGAAAAAAUAGUAGUCGAAACCAAGAAUCAAUCCCAAAAGGUCGGAACGAGGUAUGUGGCUUUCAAACUAGGUCCUGGGUUCAUAAAAGACCUGAAUCAGGAACAAGGGCUAUUAGCUCAGGUGGUUAGAGCGCACCCCUGAUAAGGGUGAGGUCCCUGGUUCGAGUCCAGGAUGGCCCACCUGCACAGGUGGCAAAAACAAAGAAGCGAGGAAUCAGCACCUUAUCUUACUUACAUAGUAAGAGAGAAUGCUGGCUCUGAGUAAAGAGUCCAGAGGAACCUUGAAAACUGCAUAGAGCUAGGUGAAAAAGCCAAAAAAGAAGACCGCAAG